GAUCAUGGCUCAGGAUGAACGCUAGCUACAGGCUUAACACAUGCAAGUCGAGGGGCAUCAUUUCAGUUUGCUUGCAAACUGGAGAUGGCGACCGGCGCACGGGUGAGUAACACGUAUCCAACCCUGCCGAUAACUCGGGGAUAGCCUUUCGAAAGAAAGAUUAAUACCCGAUGGUAUAAUCAGACCGCAUGGUCUUGUUAUUAAAGAAUUUCGGUUAUCGAUGGAGUNGUCU
rnacentral:rRNA from 1 species